UGCCCAACCGCGCACGCGCGCGCUCUCUCUCAGAAAACGCCGUUAUUUUAAAGGGCGGGAAAAGGAUCCUCUCUCAUGGCGAGAGCAAUAUGCUAUGGGAAUUUAGUAAAUAAAAUUAUCCGUCCAGUGCAAGGGGCCUGCGAGCGACUCGUUUUAAGAGCAAAGAACCAUCCAGGGAAACAUAACGGAGAAAAUGAGAAACAAAAUACCUCACAAUAAAAGGCGUGCGGUACCCCCCCCCAAACAUAUACACACACCCCAUAAAAGAAAACACCAACAUAGCAGAAAUAUCGCCACCCGUCAAAUGGGGGGAAGAAAUACUUCCCCUCCCCCUUACCUAGUGCCGAAAGGAUGUUAAAUGCUGGCGCUGGGUGGGCCUGGCAGUUCUUCCGGCCAGCAUGAAUGAAAAUCUCUGAAACUGCAGUCCCAGGUAAAUGCAAACCUCGCUGGACACAGCAUGCUUCCUUUUGAGUAAACACCGCAACUGGUUCCCCUUUCAUGCAAGCAUGCUAAAUGGGCAGGUCUAACUUACACUACAGCAUUGCUUGAUGAUGGUGAAAGCCGCAGCUGCGAGUGAUGGAGCUUCUAGGGAUGAGGAAGUCAGUAACAGAUGGAUGAAUCUGCCCUUGCUCU